rnacentral:rRNA from 1 species
AGUAUCCGCAACCUGGUGAGAAUGCCCUCAAUCCCCCAACCGGGGACAAGGAGCAGGCAUCAGGCACAUCAAACCUUACGACAGCCCAAGACGCCUUGCUACGCCACACCCUCAAGGGAAUUCAGCAGUAAUAAAUAUUAAGCCAUAAGUGAAAACUUGACUUAGUUAGAGCUAAGAGGGUCGGUAAAAUUCGUGCCAGCCACCGCGGUUAUACGAAAGACCCCAGUUGAUAUUUGCGGCGUAAAGGGUGGCUAAGGGAUAACGCAAAUAAAGUUAAAGAGCCUCUAAGCCGUCGCACGCACCCCGAGAACUCGAAGCCCAAAAACGAAAGUAACUUUAAAACACAUUUACCUGACCCCACGAAAGCUAAGAAACAAACUGGGAUUAGAUACCCCACUAUGCUUAGCCCUAAACCAAGAUGUUAACUUACACACACAUCCGCCCGGGUACUACGAGCACAGCUUAAAACCCAAAGGACUUGGCGGUGUCUCAGACCCACCUAGAGGAGCCUGUUCUAGAACCGAUAAACCCCGUUAAACCUCACCACUCCUUGUUUUUCCCGCCUAUAUACCGCCGUCGUCAGCUUACCCCGUGAAGGCCUAAAAGUAAGCAAAAUUGGCACACCCAAAAACGCCAGGUCAAGGUGUAGCGAAUGAAGUGGGAAGAAAUGGGCUACAUUUUCUACAUAACAGAAUAUUACGGACGACACCCUGAAAUACAUGUCUGAAGGUGGAUUUAGUAGUAAAAAGAAAAUAGCGUGUCCUUUUGAAUUAGGCUCUGAGACGCGCACACACCGCCCGUCACUCUCCCCUACCUAUAUAUAAACCUCAACCAACAUCUCUAAAAACACAACCAA